rnacentral:rRNA from 1 species
AGCUCCAAUAGCGUAUAUUAAAGUUGUUGCGGUUAAAAAGCUCGUAGUUGGAUUUCGGCGAGCAGGGCGCGGUUCGGUAUUUGCCGCUACUGCGCCAUUUGCUCGUGAUUUUUGGCGGAUUGUUUUGGGGUGCUCUUAAUCGGGUGUCCCAGAGCGCCGCCAGGUUUACUUUGAAAAAAUUAGAGUGCUCAAAGCAGGCUUCACAAGCUUGGAUACUCGUGCAUGGAAUAAUGGAAUAGGACGUCGUUUCUAUUUUGUUGGUUUUCGGAAAUCGACGUAAUGAUUAACAGGGACAGUCGGGGGCAUUAGUAUUCAGACGACAGAGGUGAAAUUCUUGGACCGUCUGAAGACUGACUACUGCGAAAGCAUUUGCCAAGAAUGUUUUCAUUAAUCAAGAACG